CCUCAUUCACCCCGUGGCUGGCCAUGAGCACAGGUGCUGUAAACCCUGCCCCUUCCCUCAUUCACCCCAUCAGGGUUGACUUUGGGCAGAGCAGCCACAGACUCACCUGAAAGGGGCCUGCCUCUCCACACCUGUGGGUAUUUCUCGUCAGGUGGGACGAGAGACUGAGGAAAGAAGACACAGAGACAAAGUAUAGAGAAAGAACAGUGGGCCCAGGGGACCGGCACACUAAGCGUGGGAGGACCCGCACUGGUGCCGGUCUCCGGGUUCCCUCAGUAUUUAUUGAUGAUUAUUUUCACUAUCUUGGCAAGGGGAGUGCAGCAGGAGAACAGGGAGAACGGUGAUGGUGGGGAGAAGGUCAGAAGGAAAACGUGAGUAAAGGAAUCUGUGUCAUAAAUAAGUUCAAGGGAAGGUACUGUGCCCGGAUGUGCACGUAGGCUAGAUUUAGGUUUCUCUUUACCCAAACAUUUUAGUAUAGCAAAGAGUAACAGAGCAGUAUCAUCGCUAGCAUAUUUCGCCUCUAGCCACAGGGUGGUUUUCUCCUAUCUUAGAAUAGAACGAAUAAUCGAAUAAUCGGCUUUACACCAAGACAUUCCGUUCCCAGGGACAUGCGGGAAACAGAGGGCUUCCUCUUAUCUCAGCUGCAAAGAGGCCUUCCUCUUUUACGAAUCCUCCUCAGCACAGACCCUUUACGGUUGUCGGGCUGGGGGACGGUCAGGUCUUUCCCUUCCCACGAGGCCGUAUCUCAGGCUGUCUCAGUUGGGGGAAACCUUGGACAAUACCCAGGCUUCCUCGGACAGAGGUCCCUGCAGCUUUCCGCAGUGCAUUGUGUCCCUGGUUAAUAGAGAAUGGAGAAUGGUGAUGACUUUUACCAAGCAUACUGUCUGCAAACAUAUUGUUAAGAAGGCACACCCUGCAUAGCCCUAAAUCCCUUAAACCUUGAUUUAAUACAGCACAUGUUUCCGUGAGCACAGGAUUAGGGCUAACGUUACAGGUUAACAGCAUCUCAAAGCAGAACAAUUUUUCUUUGUACAGAUCAAGAUGGAGUUUCUUUUGUCUUCCUUUUCUAGGUAGGCACAGUAACAGUCUGAUCUUUGCCCCACACUCACCCACUUCCUGCUGUGUUACCCUUCCCUGCCCAAGUUCCUGAAACGCAGAUGGGGAUCCUGAUAGCAUCACCACUUAGGGAAUAAGUGAGUUGGCCGGGCGCGGUGGCUCAUGCCUGUAAUCUCAACACUUUGGGAAGUCAAGGUGAGUGAAUCACAAGGUCAGGAGUUCGAGACCAUCCUGACCAACAUGGUGAAACCCCGUCUCUACUAAAAAUACAAAAAUUAGCUGGGUGUGGUGGCACGUGCCUAUAAUCCCAGCUACUCAGGAGGCUGAGGCAGCAGAAUUGCUUGAACCUGGCAGACGGAGGUUGCAGCGAGCUGAGAUUGUGCCAUUGCACUCCAGCCUGGGCGACAGAGCGAGACUCUGUCUCAGAAAAAAAAAGAAAAAAAAGAGAGUAAACAUGAAGUGCUUCGAAUACACAGCCUGGCACGAUCACAGCGAAGUGAAGGUCAGCAGUUGUACUGUGCUUUAUACAGGUGCAGGUGAUGGUCCUACCAGUGUGUCUGUUGAGGUCACCCGUCCUAAAGUGACCUCCCUGAAAGCCUGAGUUGAAAUCCAGACUCCACUUCUUGAGGCCUGGCCUUGGACUCUUGGGCAGCCUCUGGAAAUCCUCCUCUUCAGGCCCAGCGGAUACCCCACCUUCCCUGUCCAUGUCUUCCUUGUACUCCCUGUAUGACCCAUUGAUGUGUAACAGGUCACCCUAAAACUUCACCUAAAAUAGCAA
rnacentral:lncRNA from 10 species